rnacentral:rRNA from 2 species
UCUAAUACCGGAUAACACUCUGUCCUGCAUGGGACGGGGUUGAAAGCUCCGGCGGUGAAGGAUGAGCCCGCGGCCUAUCAGCUUGUUGGUGGGGUAAUGGCCUACCAAGGCGACGACGGG